UGGGGUGUAUAGCUCAGUAGUAGAGCAUUUGCCUAGUAUACUCAAGGUCCUGGGUUCAAUCCCCAGCACCUCAA
rnacentral:tRNA from 1 species